rnacentral:misc_RNA from 1 species
AAGAAAGUUAAAAUAGUAAUUUUAUUUUAUUUAUUUUUUUUAAAUUAUAAACCCACCAUUGCUAAUUGAGAGGAUGGUUUAUAAAACAAAAUUGAAAUUGAAAGAUUUAUCUAUAAUAAAUUAAAAUGCGGAGAUGAAUAUUAAACACGACAAUAAUUGCAAAUUACACAAAAAGAGAAUUAUCUCCAGGCUGACACCUUUCACUUUCGGUGGGAUAUCAUUACAUUGCCGCAGACUUCUAAAACGCUUUGUCACCAGAGCAAUUUUGGAGUAUCCUCCAAACACCAGCAGACUGAAAAACAACCGCAGUUCCAUGUUCCAGCAAUGGGUAUUAUCGUCAAUUGACUCGGAAAAUACAAAAUACAAACUUUCAGAACCGGAAAAAUAAUCCGUACAAUUGUCAGACAAGGUUUUUCUUAUCAGCAAUCACCGACAAAAUUGCAAAAAUAUAGGUAGAACAAGUUAAAUCACCCGGAGAAAGACUCAUAACCAACAAUAAACUAUAGAUGAAUAACACAACCAAAUGAUCUGUAUUUGAUCUGAUUACAAAAAUAUUAACAAACUUGAACCGAUAACAAUCACACUAGCUGCAGAAUACAACAAAUAUAAACUGCAAAAUGGAAGACAACAGAAAACCCAAAUAAGCUACCUAUACAGCCAAACCACCACUGACCACUCAAAAGAAAAACCUGACAAAAGGUUAGCCCAAAGUCAAUUUCUUCCUUUUUUCUAUCUUCUUUUUUUUUUUU